AUUGAACGCUGGCGGAAUGCUUUACACAUGCAAGUCGAGCGGCAGCACGGGGGCAACCCUGGUGGCGAGCGGCGAGCGGGUGAGUAAUACAUCGGAACAUGCCCAGUCGUGGGGGAUAACACUUCGAAAGAAGUGCUAAUACCGCAUACGUCCUGAGGGAGAAAGCGGGGGAUCUUCGGACCUCGCGCGAUUGGAGUGGCCGAUGUCAGAUUAGCUAGUUGGUGGGGUAAAGGCCUACCAAGGCAACGAUCUGUAGCUGGUCUGAGAGGAUGAUCGGCCACACUGGGACUGAGACACGGCCCAGACUCCUACGGGAGGCAGCAGUGGGGAAUUUUGGACAAUGGGGGCAACCCUGAUCCAGCCAUUCCGCGUGAGUGAAGAAGGCCUUCGGGUUGUAAAGCUCUUUCGGCAGGAACGAAACGGCGAGCUCUAACAUAGCUUGCUAAUGACGGUACCUGAAGAAGAAGCACCGGCUAACUACGUGCCAGCAGCCGCAGUAACAC
rnacentral:rRNA from 1 species